rnacentral:rRNA from 1 species
UACGGAGGAUCCAAGCGUUAUCCGGAUUUAUUGGGUUUAAAGGGUGCGUAGGUGGUUCUUUAAGUCAGGGGUGAAAGACGGUAGCUUAACUAUCGCAGUGCCUUUGAUACUGAAGAACUUGAAUACACUAGAGGUAGGCGGAAUGUGACAAGUAGCGGUGAAAUGCAUAGAUAUGUCGCAGAACACCAAUUGCGAAGGCAGCUUACUAUGGUGUCAUUGACACUGAGGCACGAAAGCGUGGGGAUCAAACAGG